rnacentral:rRNA from 1 species
GGACUACACGGGUUUCUAAUCCUGUUUGCUCCCCACGCUGUCGCGCCUGAGCGUCGGUAACGGGCCAGUGAGCCGCCUUCGCCACUGGUGUUCUUCCGAAUAUCUACGAAUUUCACCUCUACACUCGGAAUUCCACUCACCUCUCCCGCACCCAAGUCCUCUAGUCUCAAAGGCCAUUCCAGAGUUGAGCUCUGGGCUUUCACCUCUGACUUGAAGGACCGCCUGCGCGCGCUUUACGCCCAGUAAUUCCGAACAACGCUAGCCCCCUUCGUAUUACCGCGGCGGCUGGCAC